AACGAACGCUGGCGGCAGGCUUAACACAUGCAAGUCGAGCGCCCCGCCCGGGGAGCGGCAGACGGGUGAGUAGCGCGUGGGAACGUACCCUUAUCUUCGGGCUAGCCCCGGGAAACUGGAAUUAAUACCGAAUGUGCCCUUUGGGGGAAAGGUUUAUCGUAUAAGGAUCGGCGCGCGUGGGAUUUGCUAGUUGGUGGGGUAAACGCCUGCCAAGGCGACGAUCCAUAGCUGGGCUGGGUGGCUGAGAAACCACAUUGGGACUGAGACACGGCCCAAACUGGGACGCAGGGCAGGAGUAGGGAACAUUGGGCGAUGGGCGCAAGUCUGGUCCAGCCAUGCCGCGGAAGUGAUGAAGGGCUUAGGGUUGUAAAGCUCUUUCACCGGAGAAGAUAAUGACGGUAACCGGAGAAGAAGCCCCGGCUAACUUCGUG
rnacentral:rRNA from 1 species